UUCGCGGUCACACUGGCGUGAAAAGCAAAAAUCAAAUUGAAAGCGAAAUUGCACAUUUUAAAAUUGCAGCAGGCUGUUGUGUCCCCGUCGACGUCGGGUUGUCUGCUUUGUGUGUAAAGUGAAAUAAAAGUUUAUUGAAAGUCAUAGUUGAUAGAUUUGUAGCAAACGCAACUUAGUACGCUUUUGAUAAUUAAAUUUUCGAGUAACCACGAUUACGAUAGUGUAACUCUUCAGCACGGCAUAGGUGCCCCUCCGCUAAACCUGAAUUUGAAUUGGUUAAAAUGCAGCCCCAAUAAGCAAACCACGACGACAAACGGUUGCAAUAACGGCGUUAGGUGCGAAGGACAAGCCACCCGCCACCCACGCUUUAAUCACAGCUGAGAGCCAGAAAGAGACAGCAUAGAGAACCAAGAAACUGAAAAGCUCUGAAAGCACGCAUACCAACAACCAAAAGCAUUCAAACUGUAUGCAGUGCCUGCAGGCACAAGUCCCGCACACCAGCGCAACGAGCAUAGAGCAACGAACAUCGAAAACAUCGCAUCGGGCAUUGAGCAUCGGGAGCGAAAUAACACACACACAUACACACUGACACUGGGAGGAAGAAAUGGAUCUUCUUUUCGAUAUGGACGACGUUGUAGGGGGCCCCCCGGACGAGUGCAGUACCCCGCUGAAGGAGUGGCGGCUGAAACUUCAGGCUGGCACACUGACACGCAACGACUUCAUCGAGUUCUUCAAGAAGGAGUCGCCCAAGUACUUUGACUAUCAGAACGAACUAGAUACAGUCAAAUGCAUGUUCAAGGAGGCCCUGGCCAAGGAGGAGAUCAUCGAUGUUCUGGUCGAGUUCAUGCUCGGUGACAACCCAAAAUCAGCGCUGGAGAAGCUGCGCCUCGAGGGCAACACCGCCACAGUUUGCGGCAAGGUCUUCAAAAAUGGAGAGCCCACGUACAGCUGCCGUGAGUGUGGCAUGGAUCCCACCUGUGUGCUGUGCGUGAACUGCUUUAAGCGGUCGGCGCAUCGCUUUCACAAGUACAAAAUGUCCACCUCUGGGGGCGGUGGCUGCUGCGACUGUGGGGACAAUGAGGCAUGGAAGAAGGAUCACUAUUGUCAUCUGCAUUUGGAUAAUCGCAAGAAUCCGCUCGAAUUACAGGGAUGGAAUGAUGAGAGGUUUGUGGAACGUUUCCUACCUGCUCAAAAGUUAACUCUUCCGACAUUGAUUUCUUUAAAGGGCUGUUGCUUUAAUAUUAUUCAUAUGUUAUGUGGUCAUCAUGCUUACUAUGAAGGAGCUGUUUCUGAUAUGAAAACCAUCAUUUUGUCUAUGAGUCAUCCUAAUAAAAAAGAUGAGUUUUUGUUUGAGUACAUAUUAUCAGGAUCGACAUUUCCAGUUGGAACGGAGAAGGAAACCUAUGUUGAGACAGAACUUCAACCUGUUACCACCAAUUAUUUUGCGGAAGAUACAGCUCCUAUUGAAAUAUCUGGUUCAACAGCUAGCAUUCUUGCUGGCGAAGUUGCAACAACAACGAGAUCAGGAGAUAUGGGAGCCAUAAUGCCAGAUCAGAUUACUACAAGAGAGAAUAUCGGUGAAUUUUGGAAUACUCUGUAUGCUAUGACUAGCAAAAUUACGUCUCAAGGAUCUACAGAUUCCUCAAAUGAAAAAACUUUGAUAAGUGUACUGGGAUUUGUGUGUCUUCACACUCUGAAAUUGAUUACCCGAGAGGUUAGAUCUGUCCAAAAUUCAAUGAGUCUCAGAAUGAGUGCUCAAUAUGCUGCCAUCUAUAAAAACACAAGUUUUACUAGAAAAAUUGUUGCUCCUUGUGCCAGUGCUUUGCGAGAUCUAAAGACUGCUUAUCUAAACAAAUCAAUAUCAUUAGAUCUAUUGGGGAUCCUUAUCGGAAGAAACAUGAUUGAAAGAGCUGAACCAAUCCCUGAUGAUAACAUCUUUGGCAUCUUACAUGGUACAUGUCUAUUACAUGUUAGUAUGUAUGGUCUUGCCCCAAUCAAGUAUUUUGAGCAAGCAGCAAAAGCUCUGGGAAUGAAAAAUAGUGAAUUUGCAUCACUAAUUUGUACUUCCUUAGUAAAAAAGAGUAUUAUAGACAUAUCUCAAAUGUUGAUUUACGCAAACAAACCUCAUACUGUCAAAAUUUAUGGAAAAAAUUAUAAUUUGGCCAGUCAGAGCACUUGGCGAUAUGCCCGACUUUACAACGCAAAUUAUUUCAAUCGCUUCAUAACAACCAAAAAUGCAAGGAUUGUAAUUCGUUGUGCUGCUUAUAUAGCAGUGCGUGAAUCAUCAUCCCAAAUAGACCAAAUGAACAUUCUUCAGGGACACACCAACAAAGCUAUAUUCCUCAAAGAGAAAGAAAGAGCUGAAGAACAUGCUAGAAAUCAAAUUUCUCAAAAUGAUGCUCCUCUUACCAAAGAUGCAGAAACCAUAUAUAAACAAAAGGAAACAAUCACCUCUUCAGCAUUCAACAUGAAAGAUUGAAAAAUCAUCAAAAAUAAUCCAUCCAGUAUAAUCAAGAAAAACCAUCCACACAAAAAUCAUCACAUUUAUAUCAAUAAUCAAACAUUUUUUACAUUUUACAACAAGGUAGUAAAGGAUUUGGGGAACAGAUGAAAUGAUGAUUGCACACAGUUAAGAAAAUUGUUUGUUUUCUUUGUUUCCUUUGCGUUUGUUUUCUGGAAAAUGAAAGAAUCGAAGAAACAUUACGAAUAAUGUUUUUUUUUGUCCGCGUAGUAGAGCUAUUUAAUAUUAAUGAAUGGAGGACGAACACUACAUAAUUGUAUGGAAUUAUAAUUUUUUACAUAUGUAUAUUAAAUUAGAAAGAACAACAAACAAAAUAAAGAAAACUGAAUGAAUAAUAAUCAACGAAACAAGCCAACCCUCUGCAUAUGUGCAACGUAGUAGUGCGAAAGUCUCAUAGAUCGUCCACGACUUGCCGAAAACCAAGUCUUUCUAUUAUUAUCUUUCCUUUUGUGUAUCUUCAUUUGUAGCUGACCAAUCCGAAAGGUCAAUUCACUGAGGAUGGCUCCUUCAUCGGCCAGUACGUGCCUGGAAAGCUCCAGCCGCCAGUCAGUCCACAGCCAUUGAACAGCUCCGCCUCGGCGCACCAACAGACGCCGCCACAGACAAGUGCCGCCGCAGCAGCAGCAGCCGGCGGGGGCUCUGGCUUGGCAUCGGGAGCAGGAGCAGUAGGAGCUGGUGCUGGGACUGGGGCUGGAGCCAGCAAUGGAGGAACUGGCUCGACCAACACUGCCGCGGUAGCCACCUACGUCUGAGAGGCGUGCCUGGAGCUGGAUGGGUUCCCUUUGAGUUCUUAAUUUUCUUCAACUGAUUCUACUCCCCAAAACCUUUUUGUAAUUGUAUGUGUAAAACGAAAACUGCUUUAAGUGUCUGCAAAAAACAUAAGAAAACAAAAACUAUAUUAAAAAAAAAAACAAACAAAAGCGAAAACGAGAAAAAAAAACUAAAAAUGUAAUGAGAAGAGUUGGCAAGAAUUUAAAGCAUUUGAUUUUGCUUCCUUUGGCUUAUUUAUAUUUAAUGUGUACUUUAGCAAACAGUUAAUGCCUUUUCCAAACUAAAAAAACAAAGCAAAACAAAACAAUUAUCUUACAUUUUUUGAUAUAUGUAAGCUGCAUAAACACAACUCAAUUAGAAGAACAAACCCAAAUGAAUAUGAACGUUAAUGAAAGGAAAACCAUUCACGGUUGUUGCCUGUUCGGGAACUCCCUUUUAUGUCGAGAAUUUGUUUAGUUGCCAAUGGCGAUUUGUAUGCAUACAUAUGUGUGUGCAAGGAAGAUCCGUGUAUAUCAGCGGACUAUAUGGAAAAUGAGUCAAGUUUUGUAACCAAACCAGAGACAAGGCAACCCGGUAGUUUCGGCUGGCAGAGACAGAGACAAAGAUCAAUGAUUGACUGAUGUGUGGAGCCCAUUGCCAAUGCUAUAUGUGGAUCCAUUGACACCUGUCGGCUGUCUACCCAUUUGCCUUGUUCAAAUUCUACUAUUUUGCAAUAAUUUGUACUGAACCGAAACUUAUGUACUAUGGCCAACAGCAUUGAUGUGUUCAGCAAGUCAAUUUACCAACCUAAGUACGGACUAUGGUUACUUACGAACAACAAAAAGACUUCGAGGCAGAGAGCAGCCACGCUGGCAGUAUUGGAAGCUGCCACCAGCUGCGAUUUGUGGCUGCUACUUUGGUCUCCAUCACAUGCUAGAAUUUCAGUCCAAAGAAGAGAGAGACAUUAAUUUCGUCGGCAAUUUGAAUAUCGUAUAAGUUUCUGAUUUUCGUCCAUAGUGUAAUGACAAAUUGUGUGUAAUAUUGAAACGAAACGAAACGAAAACCUUUCAUCAUUUGUCCAUUAAUUAUUUAAGUAAAGCAAUUAGUUAAUUAACAAAUUAGUUGACUGACUCUGUGCUCCCGAUUAGUCAGUUGUAUGUAUGAAUACCUACUUAUGAGUGCAUGAUGCAAUGGAAAACGGAAUAUCGACGUGCUCCCCAAUAUGUUUUAUGUUGAUAAUCCCACUGUAAUUACCGAUUUGCAUCACUGGUAAACAGAAACACACCAAAUCCAGAUCUGUAAUAAUAUUGAUACUUCUUUUUUUUUUGAAACUAAACACACACAAAGUGGCAUUAGAAUCUAAAUGGAAAAGAGAGAAAGCAAACACAAUAAAACACAACAACAUCAACAAUUUUUUGUUCUCCUUUUAAUACAUUUUGAAUUAAUUUAAAUCUCAGUUUACAUUGAAAUUUGUAAGAACACAACACAUACGACUACAUUUGUAUGUACAUCCAUAUGUAUUUUGUAGUGCACAAACCAGCCUGUGCAUUGACUUACAUACAUACAUACAUAGUACAUUCAUACAUUCAGUACAUAGUAAAUUCUUGUCUGCCAUUUAUGUGCAUAUAUGUAUUUUGACUGGAUUGCCUACUUCAGUUACAUACAUACAUACAUACAGCUCGCUAUGUACAUUAGGUGGAUAUGUGUAAGCAUUUUUAUUUGGUCUUUAAUAAACAUACAGGGUUGCUUAGUAAAAUUUUUGCACUAGAUUUAAACAAAUGAAUAACGAUAAAGAAGAGAAAGCAUAGGAAUGGAAUGGAAUGGAAUGGCAUAGAAUGAAAAUUGGCAUUGAGGAAAGUAAGUGAGUUUGAGAAUUACGAGUACAUACUCGUACAUGAAAUACAUACAUAAAAUGCAUAGAUAUGUGUAGUUUGAUUAAUCGUACAUAUUUCGUGCACCGCGUUCUGUUUGCUGUUACUUCAAUUAGCUAUCUAAUGAACUACCAAUGCAAUCGUAUAACCCCAGCUUGAGCAUAGUUUUCAACCGAAUACUCCAUUCUUAGCCUGCCCCACGUGGGCAAACACAGUGAGACCAAUAAACUAGCUUCCGCCUCCCCCCCAAUGAACCACAAACAGAAACUGGGGGACGGAAGACACGAUUCCCACUAUUCAUUCACCUGCACCACGCAUAUCCCAACGAUUCAGGUAGACGACGAUCGAUAUCGGUUCUCUGAAGCAAAGUAGGGGACUAAAGCAGAGACAGAGACAUAGAGAGAGAGAGAGAGAGAGGUGUGGGAACCUGGCUCGUUACAUGCUGCACUUUCUCUAGUUACACCGUUGCAGCCGAAAAAGCUCACACACAAACACACACACACACAUACAUCUACACCCACGCUGACAAACUACAAGGAGCGAGCUGUGGAAGAGCGCUAAGUAAUAAAAAUACAUACAUACAAACAAAUAUGCCAUAUACACACACGUACAUACAUACAUACAUAUGUAUACAUAUUUAUAUAUAUAUGGAUAUAUGAAUAUAUGAAUAUAUAUUUACAUGUUUAGAGGACAACGAUCUAAAUCUAAUGUUCAUUACAAAGCGAUAUAUACAUACAUACAUAUAUAUAUAUACAAUAUAUAGAGAGAUGUAUAAGAUUUUGCAUAGAUAUUGUGAUUUCCCAAAUGACUCAAAACUCAAAAAAUAGUCAAUAGCAAAAGUCAAAAGUCAAAACCAAGAAAAAAUAUUUCCUCUUGUUUCGAGAUAAAGUGUUCAUCGGUGGAAUGCGAACCGAAUCACCCCUCUAUUCCCACCACGGGGUUAAGGAGGGGUGCGAGCCAUACACACCAAAAACUGCACUGCCUGUGUCGGGUUCUAUUUUACAUUACAUUUACAAUUGCAUUUGCAUUUACAUAGUCGCGUACAUACGAAUGAUGCAUGUAUGCUGCUGCAAGAACGAUUUUUUGUACCACUUAAAAUAGAAGGUCAUUUGCACAAUACUGUGAUUCCUAACAAGAAAA